GUGUGUGCUCCACUCCUCCAACCUGGCCAAAGGGCAGUCAUCAUCACUGGCCACUGCUGACCACAGCCUUUAGAAACUCCCCUUGAACGUGCUGGGCUGACCUUCCUCUGAUCACAGGCAAGGUGAACAAAUAGAAGCUGAGGGUGAAGGACCUACAGCUGUCACCUUCAUCUCUUCUCAACACUGCCAGCUGUCCCCUUGGAUCUCCCAGACAGACAACAGGGCAGCCUAAGGUUCCCAUCGUGAGUUUCAGGAAGGGAAAUUCAUGGAGGAAGUUCACCUCUGGAAGGGUUGUAGAUGAGCAUGAGAGUGUGGAGCAGAGUUGGCGAGUGCAAGUCGAGCCCAUCAACCUGGACAGCUGUCUCCGUGCUUUCACCAGUGAGGAAGAGCUAGGGGAAGAUGAGAUAUACUACUGUUCCAAGUGUAAGACCCACUGCUUUAGCAACAAAGAAGCUGGAUCUCUGGAGGCUUCCACCCUUCCUGAUUAUUCACCUUAAGCGAUUUCAAUUUGUAAAUGAUCAGUGGAUAAAAUCACAGAAAAUUGUCAAAUUUCCUCGGGAAAGUUUUGAUCCGAGUGCUUUUUUGGUACCACGAGACCCGGCUCUCUGCCAGCAUCAACCACUCACACCCCAGGGGGAUGAGCUCUCCAAGCCCAGGAUUCUGGCAAGAGAGGUGAAGAAAGUGGAUGUGCAGAGUUUGGCUGGGGAAGAGGACAUGCUCCUGAGCAAAAGCCCAUCCUCACUCAGCGCUAACAUCAGCAGCAGCCCAAAAGGUUCUCCUUCUUCAUCAAGAAAAAGUGGAACCAGCUGUCCCUCCAGCAAAAACAGCAGCCCUAAUAGCUGCCCACGGACUUUGGGGAGGAGCAAAGGGAGGCUCCGGCUGCCCCAGAUUGGCAGCAAAAAUAAACUGUCAAGUAGUAAGAAGAACUUGGAUGCCAGCAAAGAGAAUGGGGCUGGGCAGAUCUGUGAGCUGGCUGAUGCCUUGAGCUGAGGGCAUAUGCGGGGGGGCAGCCAACCAGAGCUGGUCACUCCUCAGGACCACGAGGUAGCUUUGGGCAAUGGAUUCCUUUAUGAGCAUGAAGCAUAUGGCAAUGGCUACAGCAAUGGUCAGCUUGGAAACCACAGUGAAGAAGACAGCACUGAUGACCAAAGAGAAGACACUCAUAUUAAGCCUAUUUAUAAUCUAUAUGCAAUUUCAUGCCAUUCAGGAAUUCUGAGUGGGGGCCAUUACGUCACUUAUGCCAAAAACCCAAACUGCAAGUGGUACUGCUACAAUGGCAGCAUCUGUGAGGAACAUCACCCUGAUGAAAUUGACACCGACUCUGCCUACAUUCUUUUCUAUGAGCAGCAGAGGAUAGACUACGCACAAUUUCUGCCAAAGAUUGAUGGCAAAAAGAUGGCAGACACAAGCAGUAUGGAUGAAGACUUUGAGUCUGAUUACGAAAAGUACUGUGUGUUACAGUAAAGCUACC
rnacentral:lncRNA from 1 species